GGUGGAGACAGCAGCAUCUGUGCACCACAGAGGACAUCUGGUGCUCCCAAAGAACCACUGCGUUCAGCCUUUCCCCAUUCUCUCCACAGCAAUGAGUGGGAGCUAUGAGACUCGGCCAUCGGCUCAGCACAGUACCGAAACCAGCCCUGGAUUGAGGACCUCUCCAUGAGAAGACUGUGUGGAAGACACCACCUUUGUUGCAAGAGAUGGAAAGAGAGAUGAAUUAUCCCUUUAUUUUGAUAUUAUUUUGAAUUGACACCACUAGUUAUUUGUAAUUUCCACCAGUGAGAGAGGAUUUCUCCCAGAUGCUAAGUGAACUGCUACUGUGAGUUUGGUCAACCAAAAGCCAUUCCCUCACUUAUAAGGGAAAAAGAG